AUUGAUGGCUCGGGCUGAGGCGUUUGAUGUUGCGGUAUUUGCCGAGCUUGGCAAUUCGCUUGCAGACAUUUCGUCACCAGUCGAGGUGACAUCCUCAGUUUGCAUUUGUUGGUGUUUCUCUCUGGGAGCGCUCACAUUUACUUGGGCCCCCAUUUGCUUGCCUCAGUCCUGAUUGGCUAUCCCUUCAAUUGGCAUUUGAGUUCUCUUGGCUCACAUUUCUUUGGCUCUUCAGGACUCGUAGAUAGUGUCUAUUUCAAUAUGUUCAUUCAGAGAGUUAUCAAAAGAAAACAAUGUUUCUAAAAAUUCUUGUGCAUGGUUCGAACAGGAACCAAUAUAAACCCGAGCAUUCCUAGACAGAAACUCCGACAACUGUGCGCUGAGCGUGUCAUCUCAACUGGUGACGAAAAGUAGAGAAGGCCAUGGACUGACAUAUCGGAAUGGGAAUGGGACGUGGAUUUAAAAUGUGUGGCCACUGGGAGAUCCUGCUUCCUCUGGCGGAUAGAGCAUAGGCGUUCAGCGAAACGAUCUCCCAGUCUGCGCCAGGCCUCACCAAUAUAUAGAAGGCAACACCAGGAGCGCCGGACACAGUAUAUCACACCAGCACUCUCACAGAUCUGACCCACUGAACAGAUUCUCCUGAUAGAAGGUUCUUCACUCCAUGUGGAGUGUGAUUGGCAGACUCCCAGCAAGUAUCUAACAGGAUGUCCAGAGGCUGCCAAAGAUGUCCCCAGCUUCCUGCCAGAUGGAAGAGCCAACUUUACCUGAGGAAAGCAAACCCAAUGAUUCCCACAAGGAAUUUCUUUAACCAGAGAAUGGGGAAUCAGUGGAAUUCUUUGCCACACACACCUAUGGAGGCCAAGCCUAUGUGUAUAUUUAAGACAGAGGUUGAUAGAUUCUUAACUGAUCAGGCAUGAAGGAAUAUGGGGAGAAGGCAGGAGAUUGGGGAUGAGAGGAAAAUUGGAUCAGCCAUGAUGGAAUGGUGGAGCAGGCUCAAUGGGCCAAAUUGUCUAAUUCUGCUCCUGUAUCUUAUGAUCUUGUGGUCUUAUGGAACGGAGAUGAGGCAGAUAGCCCGUCAGGGUAAAUGUGCAACUCAAUAGCUGUGAAAGAUUUUUCAACAAUAAGUGUGUACUUAAAGCAUAGUGAAGGAAUUUCUACUGAAAACUCCCUAAUGCAUUCAGCAUUACAACAAAGUAAAUCAAAUUGCUGUGAAUUAUGACCUGUCUCCCUCUAUGUAUAAUCUUGCAGCUGAGGGGAGCAAGAUCUCUGAGCCAGUAAUAAAGUUCACCUUGCUUUUCACCUUGCUCCUAUGCUAAAGGAUAUUUUUCAAAGCAAAAGCGUCAGAAAUUCUUGUUAAAUACUUUGGGCCAAUUUGUGCCUAUUUAUUCCUCCACAGAUAGAGAGAAUUAUUGAUAAUGUACA